rnacentral:rRNA from 1 species
AUUGAACGCUGGCGGCAGGCCUAACACAUGCAAGUCGAACGGUAACAGGAAACAGCUUGCUGUUUCGCUGACGAGUGGCGGACGGGUGAGUAAUGUCUGGGAAACUGCCUGAUGGAGGGGGAUAACUACUGGAAACGGUAGCUAAUACCGCAUAACGUCGCAAGACCAAAGAGGGGGACCCUCGGGCCUCUUGCCAUCGGAUGUGCCCAGAUGGGAUUAGCUUGUUGGUGGGGUAACGGCUCACCAAGGCGACGAUCCCUAGCUGGUCUGAGAGGAUGACCAGCCACACUGGAACUGAGACACGGUCCAGACUCCUACGGGAGGCAGCAGUGGGGAAUAUUGCACAGUGGGCGCAAGCCUGAUGCAGCCAUGCCGCGUGUAUGAAGAAGGCCUUCGGGUUGUAAAGUACUUUCAGCGGGGAGGAAGGGAGUAAAGUUAAUACCUUUGCUCAUUGACGUUACCCGCAGAAGAAGCACCGGCUAACUCCGU